rnacentral:lncRNA from 1 species
GCAUGUAAAACUUUUUAUUUUGCUGUAGAGCUUGAUUAGAAAUUGGAUAAUAAAAAGCAUCUUAUUAUUGACCUUUAUUUUAUUGAUUAAUUUUAUUAUUAUACAGGUGUAGAAUAUCACAAAUUUAGAAAAAAUUGAAAUAAUUAAAGCACUACUUGCAGUAGGGAGACAACAUUUGUAAUUUUUAUUUCAAUCAAACAAACAUUUUCAGCUAAUCGCCAUUGUCAGGUUCUAACAGAAUACUAUUUUUAAGUAUGAACAUAGAAUCAAACAUCAGAAUUUUUGUUUCUUUCAACAUAAAAUAAUUAUGAUCAAACCAUCAAUCAAAAAAUCAAACAAAAUAUGGGCUUUGCAGACAGCCUGUCAAAAAAGCUUAGAAUAAUACUAUUUUUAAUUAUAUACAGUAUAUUUGAAAGAUGUAUUGAAUGUUGUAUGUGGGUUUUCCUCAUACCAAAACAAGAAAAAUAAUUUAUAUGUGGAUGAAACAUAUUAAGAAGAUAAAGUGGCUCCUAAUAAAACAAAACAAGUUUGGAAGACCAAAUAAAUUGCCAUUAGAAGUGGUCACCAUCAUAAGUAAUAUCCACCUACCACCCUAUGUAACAGCCUACCACCCUAUGUAAAAAGGACCCUCAUGCAUGGUAGCAAAGAAAAGAACCAUCCUGGAUGAAAUACAAACCUUUGAACCGCUACUAGAAGGAAUAGAACUGUUGAAGGAGAAGUUAAGAUGGUGAUUCUUAGACCAGAUAAACAAAGCAGCGAAAAACAGCGAACCACGAUAUAAGAAGGAAACACCCAUAAAAGAAAUGAUAAACUGGCUGAAAAGCGAUGACUACAUAUUAAUGAAAGAGGACAAAACUAAGAUGGCAGUAAUUAUAAGCAAGCAAGAACACGAUCAGUUCCUCCUCAAGUACAUUCAAGAAUCAAAAGCCGAAAGUAUCAACAAGGACCCAAUCAGAAAACUAAUAGUGAAACUAAGGUAAAAUUAUAAAAAGCAAAAAGUUUCCAACCAUAUUCAAGCACAGUAAAGUGAAUGAAGUGUCAUGUCCUCAUUUGUUCACCUACAUGAAGACUCAUAAAGACCCAAUAGAGGCAAGACCAAUCGUAGAGAAAAGGCGUGUGCCAACAUAUAACAUCAAAGCCAAAUUAGUUAAAUGGUGCAAUAACAUUCUUAAAAAUUAUAAGCAUACAGUAGCAAGACCAAAUGAUGUUAUUAAAAGGCUCCAUCAAAAAGUACCAAGUAUCAACAAAAUACUAACAACAUAUGACUUUAGAAACUUAUACCCAUCAGUAAAACUGGAAGCAACAUGCCUGGAUUUUUAUCACUUCCUUCUGAAACAUGUGCCAAACUCAUAAAAUGCAGCACCGAAGUUAAGAGAAAUUGCACAUAUGAUAUGUUAUGACUCAUAUUUCUUCUUCAGAGGAAACUUCUAUAAGCAGAAGAAAGGAGUCCCUAUCGGAAGCUCCAUAGCGGGCAGAAAUCCUAAUUAGAGAAAUCAAGAAGGAAACAAUAAAAAACUUGCAACUAACCAAAUAUAUUAGAAUACAUGAGGUAUGUAGAUGACAUUUUUGUCGUAUGGAAACAAAAUGCUAAAACGGAAAUGCUAACACAACACUUGACCAAAGAACCAUUUGGCCUACAACUCAGGCAAGAACAAACUAGCGAGUCUAAAAUACAUUUUUUAGACAUUGAAAUAGAAGUGCUGCAGAGAGUUCACGAAACUAAAGUCUACAAAAAGCCCACAUACUGCCCUAUCAUUAUCCCAAAUUGGUCAGCAGACCUAGUGAAAUACA